GAUGAACGCUGGCUGCGUGCCUAAUACAUGCAAGUCGAGCGAACGGACGAGAAGCUUGCUUCUCUGAUGUUAGCGGCGGACGGGUGAGUAACACGUGGAUAACCUACCUAUAAGACUGGGAUAACUUCGGGAAACCGGAGCUAAUACCGGAUAAUAUUUUGAACCGCAUGGUUCAAAAGUGAAAGACGGUCUUGCUGUCACUUAUAGAUGGAUCCGCGCUGCAUUAGCUAGUUGGUAAGGUAACGGCUUACCAAGGCAACGAUGCAUAGCCGACCUGAGAAGGUGAUCGGCCACACUGGAACUGAGACACGGUCCAGACUCCUACGGGAGGCAGCAGUAGGGAAUCUUCCGCAAUGGGCGAAAGCCUGACGGAGCAACGCCGCGUGAGUGAUGAAGGUCUUCGGAUCGUAAAACUCUGUUAUUAGGGAAGAACAUAUGUGUAAGUAACUGUGCACAUCUUGACGGUACCUAAUCAGAAAGCCACGGCUAACUACGUGCCAGCAGCCGCGGUAAUACGUAGGUGGCAAGCGUUAUCCGGAAUUAUUGGGCGUAAAGCGCGCGUAGGCGGUUUUUUAAGUCUGAUGUGAAAGCCCACGGCUCAACCGUGGAGGGUCAUUGGAAACUGGAAAACUUGAGUGCAGAAGAGGAAAGUGGAAUUCCAUGUGUAGCGGUGAAAUGCGCAGAGAUAUGGAGGAACACCAGUGGCGAAGGCGACUUUCUGGUCUGUAACUGACGCUGAUGUGCGAAAGCGUGGGGAUCAAACAGGAUUAGAUACCCUGGUAGUCCACGCCGUAAACGAUGAGUGCUAAGUGUUAGGGGGUUUCCGCCCCUUAGUGCUGCAGCUAACGCAUUAAGCACUCCGCCUGGGGAGUACGACCGCAAGGUUGAAACUCAAAGGAAUUGACGGGGACCCGCACAAGCGGUGGAGCAUGUGGUUUAAUUCGAAGCAACGCGAAGAACCUUACCAAAUCUUGACAUCCUUUGACAACUCUAGAGAUAGAGCUUUCCCCUUCGGGGGACAAAGUGACAGGUGGUGCAUGGUUGUCGUCAGCUCGUGUCGUGAGAUGUUGGGUUAAGUCCCGCAACGAGCGCAACCCUUAAGCUUAGUUGCCAUCAUUAAGUUGGGCACUCUAAGUUGACUGCCGGUGACAAACCGGAGGAAGGUGGGGAUGACGUCAAAUCAUCAUGCCCCUUAUGAUUUGGGCUACACACGUGCUACAAUGGACAAUACAAAGGGCAGCGAAACCGUGAGGUCAAGCAAAUCCCAUAAAGUUGUUCUCAGUUCGGAUUGUAGUCUGCAACUCGACUACAUGAAGCUGGAAUCGCUAGUAAUCGUAGAUCAGCAUGCUACGGUGAAUACGUUCCCGGGUCU
rnacentral:rRNA from 1 species